AUUUCAGGGGGCAUCUCCUUGUCAAAUCUUUGAAUCUCUCCCAGGAUUCAUAAAUGGUCUCCCCAUCUAUCUGUAUGAACGUCUGCACUUCAGUUCUCAACCU